UCUUAUGAAUGAGGAAAGAAAGUGGUUUCUUGAGAUGGAAUCUAUUCCUUGUAAAGAUGCUGUGAA
rnacentral:pre_miRNA from 4 species